rnacentral:lncRNA from 10 species
GAUUACAGGCACGCGCCACCACUCCCAGGUAUGUUUUAGAUUUAUGUAUGUAUGAAUGUACUAGAUCCCACAUAUAUUUCUUCCUGUGGUUAUAAGUCAAGUGUUUUGAAAUCCAUUGACUUGGGCAAAUUUUCUUUUCAAAUAUAUUACUUGGCACCAUAAACUCUUCAAUUUCAGCAAAUGAUUUUUUUAAAUGACCCCAGUGUUUUGUGAAUACUUAUAUUUGACUCUAGCUCAUUUGAACAAUUUUUGCCAGAAAGAGAAAACAGCCAAAUGGAGAUCUGGCUUGCUGUGUAGGGGCUGAGAGAAGUGUGAUCAUUCUGACCCUCUAUUAGCAGGAAACUGCUCAACAGUCACAUCUUGAAAUUUACACCCCGCCACUCCUGAGCACCGCACACCGGCUUCCUCCCAGUCCCUCAUCUGAGAACUCAUGAAGCCACUUGGAAUCCCUCUCUGCUUUGCCUGGCUCAUUCCAUGUCAAUUUCAGAUCUUCACUUCAGGUCAGCUCCAAGGAGGCUAUCCUUGCCCAUCUUCCUAAAAUAGAGCUCUCAAAACCUGGCUGUUUUCCUUCAGAGCACUGGCCUCCAAUUUAAAUCCCAAGUAAGGUACCUGCCGUCGGCAGAUUUGAGCUUUCUUCUUGGACACCUAAUACCCAGAGUCCUCCAGGCUCCGGUAGAUUGCAAAUGACCUGCUUUCUUUCUGUUCCCGGGCGGCAUCGGACCCGUCGGAGAGUAAAUCCCAAGUAAGGUACCUGCCGUUGGCAGAUUUGAGCUUUCUUCUUGGACACCUAAUACCCACAGUCCUCCAGGCUCCGGUAGAUUGCAAAUGACCUGCUUUCUUUCUGUUCCCGGGUGGCAUCGACCCGUCGGAGAGUAAAUCCCAAGUAAGGUACCUGCCGUUGGCAGAUUUGAGCUUUCUUCUUGGACACCUAAUACCCACAGUCCUCCAGGUGAGUCCUAAGGAUCUUAGGAUACGCGAUGGGGGUCCUAAGGCAGGGGGGGAAGAGGGGAUGGCUGUCACCCAACCCAAAAUGGGCGGCCUUUAUGUUCAGGUUUUGCCCAAGAGUCAGCUUAUUUGCUUCUUGUACUAUCAGGGCAGUUGAUGCCACGGCCCUCAAACAUGAGGGGCCAUCCUUUAGAAACCCUCUCUAGUUGUUUAGACAACUAGGCCACCGGCCUCAGCCAGGGCCCCAGAGUUUCGGUUAAAAGUCCAGCUGCCAUCUUUUCUCUAUCUGACGCAUUCAAUGGAAAAGGCUUUGUCAGAUCGGGUAGCCCCAGGGCUGGGGCUGCCAGAAGUUUUUCCUUUAACUCCUGAAAGACUUUUUGUUCUUGGGAUCCCCAUUCCAAAGGUUCCGUUCCCCGCCCCCUUUGUGACCUCAUACAAAGGCUUGGCUAAUACUGCAAAGUUUGGGAUCCAGUCUACAAAACCCCACAGCUCCCAAGAAUUCCCUUACCUGCCUUCUGCCCUUAGGCUCCGGUAGAUUGUAAAUAACCUGCUUUCUUUCUGUUCCCGGGCUGCGUUCGGACCCCUGUCGGAUAGUAAAUCCCAAGCAAGGUACCUGCCGUCAGCAGAUUUGAGCUUUCUUCUUGGACACCUAAUACCCACAGUCCUCCAGGUGGGUCCUAAGGUUCUUAGGAUCCUUGAUGGAGGUCCUAAGCUGUGGGGGACGGGGGGCUGGCUCUCAGUCCCCGCCUCGUGGGGGGUGCCUCCCCCCCCUGCGAUGGGGGCCCUGAGAGCCAGGGGGGAAGAGGGGCUGGCUCUCAGUCCCUGCCUCGUUGGGGGUGCCUCCCCCGCUGCGAUGGGUGUCCUAAGAGCCAGGGGGGAAGAGGGGCUGGCUCUCAGUCCCAGCCUCGUGGGGGGUGCCUCCCCCCCUGCGAUGGGGGUCCUAAGAGCCGGUGGCGGAAGAGGGGCUGCCUCUGAGUCCCUGCCUCGUGGGGGGUGCCUCCCCCCCCUGCGAUGGGGGUCCUGAGAGCCGGG